GGCUCAGAUUGAACGCUGGCGGCAGGCCUAACACAUGSMAGUCGAGCGGUAGAGAGAAGCUUGCUUCUCUUGAGAGCGGCGGACGGGUGAGUAAUACCUAGGAAUCUGCCUGAUAGUGGGGGAUAACGUUCGGAAACGGACGCUAAUACCGCAUACGUCCUACGGGAGAAAGCAGGGGACCUUCGGGCCUUGCGCUAUCAGAUGAGCCUAGGUCGGAUUAGCUAGUUGGUGAGGUAAUGGCUCACCAAGGCUACGAUCCGUAACUGGUCUGAGAGGAUGAUCAGUCACACUGGAACUGAGACACGGUCCAGACUCCUACGGGAGGCAGCAGUGGGGAAUAUUGGACAAUGGGCGAAAGCCUGAUCCAGCCAUGCCGCGUGUGUGAAGAAGGUCUUCGGAUUGUAAAGCACUUUAAGUUGGGAGGAAGGGCAUUAACCUAAUACGUUGGUGUCUUGACGUUACCGACAGAAUAAGCACCGGCUAACUCUGUGCC
rnacentral:rRNA from 1 species